UUAGAGGCAAACGGGUGGACCCGCAAUACGUCGACCCGGGGGAUUCAACCAGGCCGUGCGUUCGGGACGCGUGGGGGUUAUGCGGAGCUGUAAAGCCCGUGCCUUUGCGCAGGUCUCCGGGCGGACUGGUGCACUUUCCUCGGGUUGAUUGCCACGACCGGCUCUCCGUGCGGCCACAAGCCUUUGCUGGGAAGGUGACCGUCGGCCUCCGCGCCGGCGGUGUUAUAGACCAGCUUGUUCGUUGAGCUCGUCGGAGGGCCGAGGAAGUGUUGCCGUUUCUCGUCCACCCUCCGGCCAUCCUUGCUCGUCACGACUGGGGUGAACUGCUCCGUCAGUGCUCUCCCGACCGCGAGCUUUGGAAGGGCUGGUACGGUGCGAGAAAGCUUCGGGCCAGUGGCGAAUCGGUCGGUCCUCCACCCGACCCGUCUUGAA
rnacentral:rRNA from 1 species